UACGUAGGGUGCAAGCGUUAUUCGGAAUUACUGGGCGUAAAGCGUGCGCAGGCGGCUAUGCAAGUCAGAUGUGAAAUCCCCGGGCUCAACCUGGGAACUGCAUUUGUGACUGCAUUGCUAGAGUACGGUAGAGGGGGAUGGAAUUCCGCGUGUAGCAGUGAAAUGCGUAGAUAUGCGGAGGAACACCGAUGGCGAAGGCAAUCCCCUGGACCUGUACUGACGCUCAUGCACGAAAGCGUGGGGAGCAAACAGG
rnacentral:rRNA from 1 species